rnacentral:rRNA from 1 species
UACGUAGGUGGCAAGCGUUGUCCGGAAUUAUUGGGCGUAAAGCGCGCGCAGGCGGUCCUUUAAGUCUGAUGUGAAAGCCCACGGCUCAACCGUGGAGGGUCAUUGGAAACUGGGGGACUUGAGUGCAGGAGAGGAUAGUGGAAUUCCAAGUGUAGCGGUGAAAUGCGUAGAGAUUUGGAGGAACACCAGUGGCGAAGGCGACUAUCUGGUCUGUAACUGACACUGAGGCGCGAAAGCGUGGGGAGCAAACAGG